UUACCAUCUCUCCUUCUCCCCUCACUCAAUUCAUUGAAAUUCUAAACGAAAAGACCUUCCCUCUCCUCCCCCGCCACCGCAGCAAGGAGGUAGAGUUCUGACGAUUGCUAAAUGCUUAAAUAAGUGUUAGUAAAUUAACAACACUCUUCUUAGGUUAUAGCGACACACUUUAACUGUCACUAUAUACCUAGCGACCCCACACAUAGCAAAAUUUUUUAAAAGUAUCGGUAAUUUAGUUGGCAGCACUUUUUUUUACCUAUACCGAUAUUUAAAAGUGUCGCUAUAGACCGUUUUUGUUGUAGUACUCCUCAUCGCAUUCCGUUAAUAGAGAGUAAGAUUUGUGAAA
rnacentral:lncRNA from 1 species